AAUCGAUAGCGUUUAUUAUUUUAUCAUGAAUCGCUUACUAUCCUCAAUCAAUUUCCUCGGCUCUAUAUAUAAGUACACAUAUAUAAAAUUAAAAAAUAAAGAGUAGUGACGACAUGAUAGGAGCGUUAUUACAUUCGCGGUUUCACACACGAGGCUGAUCGAUCGCUUGGCUGUAUCCCUCGAUUAUUUUCUCGCUUCUAAAUAAUAAUCAUAACUGCAAUACAAAUACACAUUUAGUAGUCUCAUAAAUUAAUAUAGUGUUUUUUAACCUUGCCAAAGAUAUAAUUUAAUUUUAUAAAUAAAAUAAAAUAAACAAAACCCGAAAAAAAAUUAUAUAACAUGAGGACGCGAAUCACAAGACACUUAAAUAAAAUAAAAUUAAUUUUAGCGACAAUGAGGCCUUGAACGUGUGAAAUCCGAUGAGAGCUUAGACAUUGCAUUGCAGUACAGUAGUUUGUUCAGGAAAUUAGACAUUAUUGGUAAUAAUAAUAAUAAUAAUGAGUAAUGCGGUGACAAUAAUAAUGAACCGGAAAUUUACGAACACUAAAUUCAAUGAGCGGUUCUGUUUAAGUGGGAGUUGAAGGCCAACGAUUACGAUGAAAGAAGGGCUGGAGAGUAUAAAUAUGUGUUGGUAUUUUUAUAUAUAUAUAUAUAUGAUUGGGUGGUGUGAGUACUAUGUAUAGCCCCAGUAGGAAUCGGUACUCGGCGGGGCGCAAGAAUAAGCCAUAGGUAGAGAGGGAGGGGGAGGGGGAGGUUUUGAGUAGAAGAGUGUAGAAGAGAGCCGAGAGUCCGAGUAGUCGAAGCUAAACUCAGAGAACGCAUUUCGUUGCGAUCCGUGUACCUAGUCGAACACAUAUAUAUUUUAAUUAUUUAUAAAUAUAACAUAACUUAAAAAGUUUCUAUUCUCUUCUGCAUCUCUGCAUCUAAGCUUUUGUUCUGUAUCUUUUUCAUUAAGCUGCAAGG